GGGGAGGGGGAGGCGCGGGGAACUCGGCCCCGGCUGUUCUCCCGGCCGGGAGGCAACAGCGCCCCGGGACCCCCCUAGUUCGCACUACCCAUUCAAGUUCUCGGGGCCCUGCGCCCGAUUCGGAGGUGGCGCCCGCCGCCCGCCCUGCCUCUGUGCCCCCGUUUCCAGUCACCGCGCGGAAAUUUAGGUCAAGGACGCCGGGAGCACACCCACACCCUGCGCUCCCAGGGCAGUCCUCGAGAUCCUCGGGAUCUCGGGAGCUUGCGGAUGGAGGAGACCCUCCUGCACAAACAUCAGCCACAAGUUUUAUUUUCCCUUCGCGCGGCAAGUUCUCUGGCUCCCGCUCCACACUGGCACGUCCUGCACGGCUCCCCGCCCUUCCCCGGCAGAGGCAGAAGUCAGUGGCUACCUUCCUGAUAUCGACUUGAACAGACUCUUAAGUGGUGAGCCGAGAGGAGACCUGAUGGGCCGGGGCCCCAAGCUCUGCAGUGUCCAAGCCAGAGACUGAUAAAGGACUAAAGGAGAAAGCUACGUCUCUCCACUGUUUUUACUAAGGAGGUGGUCACAGCAGCUGAACACAGCCCGGCAACAGUGUUAACUCCACUAUGUUUGUAUCUCGGGAAGGCCGGUCCAACAAAAUCUCUGCAGAUCUUUGAGAAAUUGCCACUUUGUAGAAGAAACGUGCACUUUGGAGGACUGUGGGAUUUCUCUGCGAACCCUGGUUAUCCUGGAGUGCACUCUGUAGACCAGGCUGGACUCAAACCUUGCAUCUACCUCUGCCUCCCAGUUCAUGAUGUGAACACCUGGAUCCAGAUGUGCCUGAAGCUCUCCCAUUAUCUCGACUUCUCGAUGAAAUGGUCUCAGGUUGGGAUCUCUCAGACUUGCAGAAGAAAAGAAACCAACCCUAGCUAAUGCAGAGACACAGCAUCUGACCCUGUCACUAUUGUGCCAGUCAAGUGAGCGGGUGCUGGCACACAGCGGCAUCUAAAUUAUACCCGGGGCACACGUAAGGUGAGAUGGUUUUGCUUUCUGCCCUUUCCCAUUCUUUUUCUGAAGCCUUCAGCCUCAGAGAGUCCUGUCGGCAUGGUCCCAGUCACCGGGCACAAGAAUUACACCCAAGGUCAUGAAGAGUGAUGGCAGAGCUGUCAUCCCCAGGAAAGGACAACAACAACAAACAACAGUUAUUCCAGCUCUGGAGUACCAACACACCGCAGGCUUCCAAAGCCCUUGUAGCCAAAUUAAAUCUGACAUCACUCCUCGGGUUGACAGAACACCAUGGCAGCUUUUCCAAUAGAAUGAACCCAGAUACCCGAGGGUGCUGUCUCCUGUGGGUUGGCAUCACCUCCUCCACCACAGCUCAGCUAAUGGUGAUUGAGCCUCGGAGAUCACGGGAUGGAGAGUAACAGGCACGGAGAACUCGGGGUGCUCACACAGGAGCCCAGAGAAGCCAGGAGCUCAAACGUGACCUUGAGUUCAGCCCCAGGGCCCUGCAGCCAUCGUACUAUCUCUGCUCCUUGGCCAAGGUCAGAAGGAAUCCACAGGGUCCCCGCUAGGCCACUUCAGAAUCAGCACAUCGGUUGAUGAGCACAGCAAUGUUCUUUAAACAAAGGAACGGCUGGCAUCAAGGUCAUCACAAAAGGUUGUGACUGUCCCUCUCUGCCAAAAAGGACACUGGCCACAUCUGGGCAGAGGUGUGACAGCGUACUCAUUCAGGACAUAAGUUGAUGCCCACACUGCUUAGCUCCCCACCACAGGACACUUGACCCUUCUCCACCGUUAAAGGUGACCAUUACACUCUGCUGAGCAGGGUGAGGUCAUCUUCCCUCUCGAGAGAAGGGACAUAAAAGGAAAAAGAAAAGGAAUUUUCUCCCCUUGAUAAAUCCAAAGCUGUAAUAAAACAGAAUUUAGAUCUUUGGUGAAUAAUUCAUGCUUAUGCAAAAGGAGGGGAAAAAAGGCUUUCAUUAUCCUUCGUGUCCCUCUUCCUGAGUCCUAGAAUCCGAUUCCUGGAUGGAAGUAGACUGAGAUCUAGAGGGGGUUUGCCAGCUGACCCUGGGGGUUGUCCCUCUUGUCACUGCCACCUCUUCAGUGAGCUUUGAGUGGCUCCCCAAGCUGAGUCAGGAUAGAGACAAAGGCCAGAGGCAGAAAGAGUCAGCUUCAGUAGCUACGUGGACUGUCCUCCCUCCUCAAGACAACAUUGUCACCAACAACAAAAGGCAAAGGGAAAAAAAUAAAUAAAUAAAUAAACAAAUAACAGAAAAGGGAAAGAGGGUCGGAGAGAAAGCCCACUGAGUAAACUGUUUGCUGCGCAAAAUCCAAACCUCAGUUCAGAUGCCACAGUACCUAUGGGGACAUUCUGGGCAUGGCGCUCCACAUUCGUAAUCUCAGGGCUGGGAAGCUGGACAUGGGCAGAUCCUGGAAGCUCACUAAGCAGCCAGUCAGCUAAAACAGCAAGUGCCGGGUUUACUGAGAGAGCAUAACCAAAAAGUUAAGAUGGCAAGCAAUCGAGAAAGACACCUAACACUAACUUUUGGCCUCCGCAUGCACGCACACAAGGGCUAGUGCAAUAGAACACACGUGUGCCUAUACACAUCCGACACACACAGAGCACUGAACCAAGAGCUUGGGUUUGUGGCGUGUACAAA